rnacentral:rRNA from 1 species
CAGUAGCCGCGGUAAUACGUAGGUGGCAAGCGUUGUCCGGAAUUAUUGGGCGUAAAGGGCUCGCAGGCGGUUUCUUAAGUCUGACGUGAAAGCCCCCGGCUCAACCGGGGAGGGUCGUUGGAAACUGGGAAACUUGAGUGCAGAAGAGGAGAGUGGAAUUCCACGUGUAGCGGUGAAAUGCGCAGAGAUGUGGAGGAACACCAGUGGCGAAGGCGACUCUCUGGUCUGUAACUGACGCUGAGGAGCGAAAGCGUGGGGAGCGAACAGGAUUAGAUACCCCUGUAGUCCCUGUCUCUUAUAC